UUGUAUGACAUAAUUAUAUAGCAUCUCUCCCUGUAUCCCUCGUACAAGUAUGGUCUUCUUGCCUAUUUCGAUCAUGUUAGCUCAUUUGUAUUGGAUAGGUAUCUGGAAAGAUAAAGGAGUUGAAGGCAUCAAUUGACGUGGGAUUGGCUCAUUGUGACAAUAUACUUAAAUCUAUUGCAUCGAAGUUUGUGCAUUGGAAGCAUGUGAAAAUGACAUGAAAAAUCAAUUUACCACACUUUAAACAUGUUGAGUGCCGACGUGAUAAAGAAAUGCUUAGUUGGUGAGGGAUGGAAUCCAGUUUUUGCAGUUAGUCAGGUUCAGAUGAUGUAGUGGCAGCGAUUUCUUUAACAGCCCGGAAUUCGUCAAGCAUAAAUCAAAGAAGCGUGUACCAAAUUAGGCUCUGUGGGACAACUUGACUUAUCAGCUUGAAAGUUUCAUCACCAUACAUUCCUUUCAGCAAUGGGAUACAAACAAUCUUAGUAUUGGGAAGUGUCGACAAAGAGAAACAUGCAGAUGGUUUCAGAGAUGCCUGCGCAUGAGCAUGUGAAACGUGGAGAUGGCAUCGUCGUAGACGUAGCAGUAAGUCGCCGAGUUGCUGCUGCUGGCGUCAACUAUGCCCUGCUGCCCCUGCCUUCUUCAACUGGGAUGUCUCUUAUAGCCCCGCGUCCCC